GACAGAGGGGGCAAGCGUUGCUCGGAAUUACUGGGCGUAAAGGGCGCGUAGGCGGGAUGGCAAGUCGGUCGUGAAAGCCUCGGCUCAACCGAAGAACGUCGGCCGAUACUGCCGUUCUUGAGGGAUGCAGAGGAGACUGGAAUUCCCGGUGUAGCGGUGAAAAUGGUGUAGAGAUCGGGAGGAACACCGGUGGCGAAGGCGGGUCUCUGGGCAACAACUGGACGCUGAGGCACGAAAGCGUGGGGAGCAAACAGGG
rnacentral:rRNA from 1 species